AGUGAACGCUGGCGGUAGGCCUAACACAUGCAAGUCGAACGGCAGCACAGUAAGAGCUUGCUCUUACGGGUGGCGAGUGGCGGACGGGUGAGGAAUACAUCGGAAUCUACUCUUUCGUGGGGGAUAACGUAGGGAAACUUACGCUAAUACCGCAUACGACCUACGGGUGAAAGCAGGGGAUCUUCGGACCUUUCGCGAUUGAAUGAGCCGAUGUCGGAUUAGCUAGUUGGCGGGGUAAAGGCCCACCAAGGCGGCGAUCCGUAGCUGGUCUGAGAGGAUGAUCGGCCACACUGGAACUGAGACACGGUCCAGACUCCUACGGGAGGCAGCAGUGGGGAAUAUUGGACAAUGGGCGCAAGCCUGAUCCAGCCAUACCGCGUGGGUGAAGAAGGCCUUCGGGUUGUAAAGCCCUUUUGUUGGGAAAGAAAAGCAGCAGGUUAAUACCCCGCUGUUCUGACGGUACCCAAAGAAUAAGCACCGGCUAACUUCGUG
rnacentral:rRNA from 1 species